UACGUAGGCAGCAAGCGUUGUUCGGAGUUACUGGGCGUAAAGGGUUCGUAGGCGGUCCUAUAAGGAUGGUGUGAAAUCUCCCGGCUUAACUGGGAGGGUGCGCUAUAGACUGUGGGACUAGAGUGUGGGAGAGGAAAGUGGAAUUCCUGGUGUAGCGGUGAAAUGCGUAGAUAUCAGGAGGAACACCGGUGGUGUAAACGGCUUUCUGGACCAUAACUGACGCUGAGGCACGAAAGCGUGGGUAGCAAACAGG
rnacentral:rRNA from 1 species